rnacentral:rRNA from 1 species
CCUACGGGGGGCAGCAGUGAGGAAUAUUGGUCAAUGGCCGGAAGGCUGAACCAGCCAAGUCGCGUGAGGGACGACUGCCCUAUGGGUUGUAAACCUCUUUUAUAAGGGAAGAAUAAAUGCUACGUGUAGCAUGAUGCCUGUACCUUAUGAAUAAGCAUCGGCUAACUCCGUGCCAGCAGCCGCGGUAAUACGGAGGAUGCGAGCGUUAUCCGGAUUUAUUGGGUUAAAAGGGUGCGUAGGCGGGAUGCCAAGUCAGCGGUAAAAAUGCGGUGCUCAACGCCGUCGAGCCGUUGAAACUGGCGUUCUUGAGUGGGCGAGAGGUAUGCGGAAUGCGUGGUGUAGCGGUGAAAUGCAUAGAUAUCACGCAGAACUCCGAUUGCGAAGGCAGCAUACCGGCGCCCUACUGACGCUGAGGCACGAAAGCGUGGGUAUCGAACAGGAUUAGAUACCCUUGUAGUC